UAAAAAGGGAACGAGGAAGGACCCACUGGCGCCUUAAGCCAAAUCAUGCUCCUCCAGCAAAGCGAGGGCCCCAGUCUUUCGGUGGAUCAUUCACUGUGCCUGGAACAUGAGAAUUUCGCUCAGCGCUCCUUGCUGGAGGAAACUGCCAUCCCUCAGCCCGGCCCUCCGAACAUCAGGUGCACCCACACCUCUGGGGCCCGGGGGCCUGGAGAAACAGGAGGGACAGGCGGUGUUGCACAAAGAGGUCAGAAUCCCCCAGCAGGGGGGCACGCGCCCGGGGAGCUGGGGGUGGGGUGGGUGCAGUGAGCCUGAGCCGCCUCCGGUGCCGCAGGGAUGGCCUGGGCCUGCAAAGCCCCGUGUGGAGCGCGGAGUCGUGUUCGCCUGGUUUCCUCUAGCCUCCUUCCAACUUCAACAACUGUCGCGUCAACGUGCGACAACGUUUUACCUUACAAUUCCGUUGGGAGGAGUCCCCUGUUUUGGAACCACUGGCGAAGGAAAGCAAGCGUCCAGCUGCUCUUUUCCAGCUGUGUGUUUGGCGCUGCUGAUCUGAAGGAUAAAAUGAGAGGACGGCAGAGGGGAACGAUGCAGGGACCUUCCUACCAGCAACUCACAGAGGACAUGGCAGAGAACGCCAAGCCUGCUACGGAGAACCAGAACAUCUAUGGAGGUUGAACCGUCCUGAUGGGCGCACCAAGGACAGUGGGUUUGUUUUUGUUGUUGUGCAACAAAUACCUAUUAAGCAAAUUCUAUGCACAAGUUCGCUCUGGUAAUUAUUUUAGGAGAGAAGAAAAAGACAACGCACGAUUCCUACUUCUGAGAAGCUUAAAGUAUUUGGAGAAAUAAGUUUCUAAUAAUAAAUAAUCAUAAUGACA